AUUGAACGCUGGCGGCAGGCCUAACACAUGCAAGUCGAGCGAGCGGCGGACGGGUGAGUAAUGUAUGGGGACUGCCCGAUAGAGGGGGAUAACUACUGGAAACGGUGGCUAAUACCGCAUACUGUCGGAGAAUCCAUAUGGGAUUAGCGAGUAGGUAAGGUAAUGGCUUACCUAGGCGACGAUCCCUAGCUGGUCUGCGAGGAUGAGCAGCCACAAGGUAACUGAGACACGGCCCAGACUCCUACGGAGGCGGAAGUGGGGAAUAUUUGAAAAUGGGCGCAAGCCUGAUGCAUCCAUGCCGCGUGUAUGAAGAAGGCCCUAGGGUUGUAAAGUACUUUCAGUCGGGAGGCGUUACCGACAGAAGAAGCACCGGCUAACUCCGUGCCAGCAGCCGCGGUAAUUC
rnacentral:rRNA from 1 species